UGUGAGGGACCGUGGCAGAAGCCUUGCACAAGUCCAGGUAGAUAACAUCAGUUGCUUUUCCCUUGUCCACCAGCGCUGUAACCCCUUUGUAGAAGGGCAC